AAACCCACAAGCUUCUCCCCUUCUUAGAAAUACAGUAUACUCACCUUCUUCUCCAAAAAUCUAUUAGCAAAUCAAGAAGCUUUUACUAGAAAAAUAUAGUAAUCAUCUAGCUCAGACCGUUGCUGCAAUUUUCAGGUCCUCCCAGGGCCAUGUGUCUGUAGUUUCCCAUGGGAAAGGAAGGCCAAAAGAAAAGAUCAAAUUAUCAUCCAAUAUAAACAAUUGAUGGCCUAUGAAAUUUUUUGUUGAUGACCAUGUUCCAUGGAGUUCGUUUUCGUGUACUUGCAGACUUUACUCCUUACUGUGAGGUAUUUCAAGAAGUUGAAAAAGGAAGUCGAGAAAGACCAAGAGCUGGAAUAAGGAUCAAAUGAAGAUCCAUGAGCGCAUAGCAAUUUUCUACUUAAAGGCCACCCUGGUACGACUUGCAUAACAGAGAAUGAGAGAAAUGGAGAAAUAGACACAACAGAAAUAGAGAAUUCAGCCAUUUUCACAGGAAACAACUUAUGAUAAUAGGUUUGGAUCAACCCGCAACAAAUCUCCUCAUAUACCCUCCUUUUCUCCUGAGAGAUGUCUCAUCAAUAAAUUGUUAUAGUUUGAUUUGGAGAUGCUUGCUUCCCCAAAAUAGUGUCUAGGAGGGAGCAAAGGUUUACUAUACUCGAAUGCACAUGUUAUAAAAUUCUUUCUUUUGUUUUGAAUUAUGUUAAAAUUUCUAUUUAGAUAUGGAAUUAUGCAUCACUGAUGCAUUAGUAAACCCAUAGGUAUUCUCUUUUUCAGAAUUUAUUGUUAUUUACAGUUUUUGAAAUUAUGGUUAUUUUCAAGUAGUUAUUGCCAUUGAGGAUUUAAGUUACAUCUGAAUGAAACUGUGCAAGUAGAGGGUAGCCACAUUAAUUAGUAUCACAUUUGUAAAUGUUGGGCCCGUGCGCAGCACGGGUAAUACU